rnacentral:tRNA from 1 species
GGAUCGAUGCCUGAGAGGUUAAAAGGAAAGGACUGUAAAUCCUUUGACUUAUAUGUCUACGUUGGUUCAAAUCCAACUCGAUCCA